GUACCAUGGUGUGGGCACAUCCUCAAUAACUCCUUGAAUCACUCCCAAACAUCACACACCAAUUCAUCCUCCAACUGCUGAAAAGAAAUAAUCUAAUUUUGAAACU